rnacentral:rRNA from 1 species
UACGUAGGGACCAAGCGUUGUUCGGAUUUACUGGGCGUAAAGGGCGCGUAGGCGGCAUAUUAAGUCAUCUGUGAAAUCUCCGAGCUUAACUCGGAACUGUCAGGUGAUACUGAUGUGCUAGAGUGCGGAAGGGGCAAUCGGAAUUCUUGGUGUAGCGGUGAAAUGCGUAGAUAUCAAGAGGAACACCUGAGGUGAAGACGGGUUGCUGGGCCGACACUGACGCUGAGGCGCGAAAGCUAGGGGAGCGAACGGG